rnacentral:lncRNA from 1 species
AUUGAGCUUAUACUUGUUCUUGAUUCUGAGCAGCGCACACAGAAUGAGGCUGUGCAUGGUAAAAAAUUAAUUCGAUUUACCACCAGCCUGUCGCAGCUCACCAUACACAUGACGCUAAGUUUGGAUACGUCCAACAAUCAAGUGGACUUUCAUGUCCUCAGAGCAAAGUGGCAACUAAAGCCGACCACUUGUCCUUGAUGCUCCUCUAUUGUCGCAGGUGGGCCUCCAUUAACAAUAAUGGCUUUUGUACAGUUAUGGAGAGUUUUUUCGGCCUUUUGGCUUUAGGUGACAAGUCUCUUGUUUAACCUGUAAAGAUGAACCCUGCUACCAC